GCCCGCUACAGAAACUCAAAGGAAUUGACGGGGCCCGCACAAGCGGUGGAGUAUGUGGUUUAAUUCGAUGCAACGCGAAGAACCUUACCUGGUCUUGACAUCCCGGAGACCCUUAGGAAACUAGGGGGUGCUUCCAUCUGGAAGAAUCUGGAGACAGGUGCUGCAUGGCUGUCGUCAGCUCGUGUCGUGAGAUGUUGGGUUAAGUCCCGCAACGAGCGCAACCCUUGCCUUUAGUUGCCAGCAGUUCGGCUGGGCACUCUAAAGGGACUGCCGGUGUUAAACCGGAGGAAGGUGGGGAUGACGUCAAGUCCUCAUGGCCUUUAUGACCAGGGCUACACACGUACUACAAUGGCCGAUACAAAGGGCAGCGACACUGCGAGGUGAAGCCAAUCCCGUAAAAUCGGUCUCAGUCCGGAUUGGAGUCUGCAACUCGACUCCAUGAAGUUGGAAUCGCUAGUAAUCGUGGAUCAGCAUGCCACGGUGAAUACGUUCCCGGGCCUU
rnacentral:rRNA from 1 species